CUCCUGAAGGGGGAGGAGUCAGAAUCUGCAUUUGAACAAGAGCCUGGAGAGGUUUCCAGGCAGGAUAAGCAGCCCUAGCAGAGGUCAGAAACAUGGGUUCUGAAGGCUGCACGUCUGGAAUUAAUGUGUCAUUGAGCCAUACCUGCUACAAAACAUCCAGGAGAGACUCUGUUCUUGCCUCUGCCAGCUUCUGGAAGCCCCAGAUGUUCCUUGGCUUGGACAGCACAACUCCAGUUUGCUUCAGCCUUCACAUGACCCUCUUCCCUCUGUGUCUUUGUUCGAAUCCCUCUCUUCUUAUGUGGACACCAGUCAUGUUGGAUUAAAAGCCCACGCCACUCCAGCACAACCUCAUCUUAACUACUGACAUCUGCAACAACCCCAUUCCCCAAUAAAGUCACGUUGUGAAGUAUGUGGGGGUUAUGUAUCUUUUGUGGGGAUGCAAUUCAAGCCAUAACACAUAGUAAGAAUCUUAUGGGAAACUCCUUGGAAGGCAUGGUCUGUGUCUUCCUCACCAUCUUUCACAGGCCAAUCCUGAUGCAGAAUUAAGAUCACAGGCUGCUGUAAUAAAUAGCAUUGUGGAAAUUGAAUGUUAGAGAAAAUCUGUUAAAUGAAUGAAAAUUAAUUUUUGAUGGUCACAGGCCUGAUCCAGGUAUUAG
ensembl:lncRNA